rnacentral:rRNA from 1 species
AGAGUUUGAUCAUGGCUCAGAAUCAACGCUGGCGGCGCGCCUAACACAUGCAAGUCGAACGAGAAAGGGGAGCAAUCCCUGAGUAAAGUGGCGUACGGGUGAGUAACACGUGGGUAAUCUGCCCUUUGGUGGGGAAUAACCCUGGGAAACCGGGGCUAAUACCGCAUAAGUCCGAGAGGAGAAAGCAGCAAUGCGCCGAAGGAGGAGCCCGCGGCCGAUUAGCUAGUUGGUAGGGUAAGAGCCUACCAAGGCAAAGAUCGGUAGCCGGCCUGAGAGGGCACACGGCCACACUGGCACUGAAACACGGGCCAGACUCCUACGGGAGGCAGCAGUGGGGAAUCUUGCACAAUGGGGGAAACCCUGAUGGAGCGACGCCGCGUGAGCGAUGAAGCCCUUCGGGGUGUAAAGCUCUUUCGGCAGGGAAGAUGAUGACGGUACCUGCAGAAGCAGCUGCGGCUAACUACGUGCCAGCAGCCGCGGUAAUACGUAGGCAGCAAGCGUUGUUCGGAGUUACUGGGCGUAAAGGGUGUGUAGGCGGUCUGGUAAGUCUGGUGUGAAAUCUCCCGGCUCAACUGGGAGGGUGCGCCGGAAACUGCCGGACUCGAGUGCGGGAGAGGAGAGUGGAAUUCCUGGUGUAGCGGUGAAAUGCGUAGAUAUCAGGAGGAACACCGGCGGUGUAGACGGCUCUCUGGACCGUAACUGACGCUGAAACACGAAAGCGUGGGUAGCAAACAGGAUUAGAUACCCUGGUAGUCCACGCCCUAAACGAUGCAUAUUUGGUGUGGGUCAUUCAGUUGAUCCGUGCCGGAGCUAACGCGUUAAAUAUGCCGCCUGGGGAGUACAGUCGCAAGGCUGAACUCAAGGAAUUGGCGGGGGCCCGCACAAGCGGUGGAGCAUGUGGGUUCAAUUCGACGCAACGCGAAGAACCUUACCUGGGCUCGAAC